CUGCGCAUGCUCGGGCGGAGCGGGAGCGGAGCCCGGUAAGGUUUAGAGCCGUGGGCAGACCUGGCGUGUGGACCCCGUGAGUCCCGUCGGAGCGCCCGGUGUUCUCUGUACUUUCGGUUCCGUUUUCUCAGAGUGGAUGCCAUGCUAGUACUUCCUAUCUCACAGCUGUUUACGGUCACUUAAAUGAUCAUGCUAAAGCCUGUGAUGAUCCAAGUCUGUAGGAAGAAAUUGGUUCAAACUCGGAGCGGGGUGGAGACGAAAUUUCGUUGUACCAAUUUCCCAAGUUAAUGAGAGACUCAGCACACGCACGCACGCACGCACGCACACACCAUCUUCAGUGUGUGUCCUAGAGGUGGCAGUCUCCUCCAAGCUACAGCAAAGACUUCCUAUGGUUUGUUUAUUUACUUAACUAAAACCAAGGUCAUUCAAAUUCCUAACAUGUCAUGUGCUUUGAGGGCUCGCCUACCAGAUGAGAAUUCUCACUGAUAGCAGGCAUGAAGAGACUCUGAACGUAUUUUCAAUACCAAGCCUUGUGCUGGACUCCCUGAACUGCCAGUUGGACAUUUGUGUGCAGGAGAAUUAAGAUGUGCCAUUUGUGGACAACACCUGAAAUAGAAAACUGAAACUUUCCAUCUUGCGGGGAAGUCCCUGAACCUGACCAAAUGCAAUAGGCCAUCUCCCUCUCCCUGCCAGAAUAAACAAUAAAAGCUGAGAGUCCCUCUCAGACUCAAAAAAGCCAAACUUCAAAGAAGACUCUCAGACUAGCCAAGCUGCAACGAAGACUGAGAAGCUGAGCUGCCUGGUUUGGACCAGCAUCCCUUGGAAAGGACACUGCCCCACCUCUGAAGCUGCCUGCAGGCUGUGCAGUGUCCUCCAGGCUUCCCAGCUCUUGUGAGCUGUCACCCAUGCUGGGGUGGGCCUUGGCAAUGCAGAUGUCUGUGAGUCAUUUCUGCUCCUGUAGUAGUCGGUCACCCACACUCCACAGUAAAUCCCGCUGGCUCACCAGUUGGGCUUUGAUGGUCUGUUGUGGGCUCCCUAUCUGUAAGAGCAGACGUGUGUGCUGCAUCUCCCUGGGAAAAGUUUUGUCAUACAACAAACAUCAUGGCCAAAAGCAACUCUGAGAAACACACACACCAAUCACAGUUCAUCACUGAGUGAAGUCAGAGCAGGAACUCGAGGCAGGAACUAAAGCAGAAGCCAUAAAGGAGCGCUGCUGACUGGCUUACUCUCCAUAGCUUGCUCAGCACUCUUUCAACUUGGUACUACCUGCCUAGGGUUGUACUGCUCCCAAUCACAAAUCAAAAAAACAAAAAAAUAGUCUACAGAUUUACAUCCAGAUAUCUCCAGCUUGUGUCAAGUUAACAAAAUAACUAACCAGAACAGAAAGGAUUGCCUUUAGUUUAAAGCCAGCCUGCAGUGCAUAGUUCCAGGCAAGCCUGAUUGUAGAGGAAGAGAUCCUGUCUCAAAACACCAAAAAAAGAAAAAAAAAAAAACUCAAAUAAAUGAAAAAGAAGCAUACAUGGUCAAUGAGAUGUUUAGUAGGGAAAGGCCCUUGCCAUGAGCCCAAUGAUCUUAAUUCACCUUCCUGAGACCUGCAGGGAGGAGAGAACCAACUCAUGCAAGUUGUCUUCUGAAUUCCACAAGCUUUCUGUGACAUUCGUGCAACCACCCACACACAGGCACACACAACGCAAAUAGUGAGUGUAAUAAAAAUUUUAGUAAGCAGCUUUAAAGGCAAAACACUUUAAGUGCCUCUGAAAACUAAUGCAGAAUUGUACACAGUCACUUUUAGAAAUCUGUUAACUAUCCUCUUGUCAUGGGUAGAGUCUUAUUAGAGUUUCUAUUGCUGUGAAAGGACAUCAUGAUCAGGGCAACUCUUAAUUAAAAAAAAAAAACAUUUAAUUGGGCUGACUUACAGUUUCAGAGGUCUGGUCCAUUAUUGUCGUGGUGGGUGGCAUGGUGGCAUUCGGACAGACAUGGUGCUGGAGAAGGAGCCAAGAGUUCUACAGAAGGAUCUUCACAGCAGGAAGUGACAGUGACAUUGGGCCUGGCUUGAGCACCUGAAACCUCAAAGCCUGCCCUCACUUCCUCCACCAAGGCCAGACCUAUUCCAACAAGGGCAUAUCUUCUAAUAGUGCCUAUGUAUGGGCCUAUGGGGGUCAAUUACAUCCAAACUACCACAGGUAGUGAAUGGAAAAGUAAAGACAUGAUGGCUCCCUGGUAUGGUUGAGGAGAAAGUUUAUUGUAGAUAUGAGGGAGAAAACAUCCAGAGGCAUCCAGACUUAACCAGGCUAUGAAGGGGAAGAGGGAAGGGGAAGAGUGAAAGAGAAGAGGUGGGCAAAAAAAGGAGCCAAGGACCAGAGAUCUAACAUUCCAGCCUUUGUUGAUAAUAAAGGCCGACAUAAUCUCUUCUGUAAUUAUUUCCUAUUGAAAUUGGGAUUGUCUGGGGAGAGGAGCCAGGAAGACUAGAAUGAUGGUCAAAGAAGGGGAAGAAAGAGAGGGGUGCAGACUGGGGGACAUCUGUUUCACCAGCUGUUUGGGUUCUGCCAAACUAUCUGGGGCUAGGGAAGGGCAGGCUGCUUUGGAGCCUGCUGGAUGCAGGUUCCAAGGAACACCUGGGACUGGCACAUUAUAGGCAGGUUUUCAGCAGUCUGCAGUUGACUAGAAGUCUGCUGGGACAGAUAGAGAUCAGGGGAAGAAGGCAAAGUUAAGGGGUUUAGAAAAAAUUUUUAUCUUGGGUGUAUAUUUGAAACUUCCAGACCCAUGGUCUUGGCAGUCGGGAAGAAUGUUAUGCCCAUGUCAGGAGCCCCCAGAGACCACCAGGAGUCUGAGUGUUCAUAUGCAAAAGCAAAGAACCUUUAUUGCAAGCUCAGGCUUAGGUUCUCCAUCCGUUCUGACACAGGGGAUCAGGGAGAGUAUCGAGCUCAGCUGAGGCAGGGUUUUUAAGGAGCAAAGAAUGGGAGGGUAGGGGAAUACCGGAUUCAGAUGGGGGCUGAACUCCUGAUUGGGAAGGAGUGGGGCACAGAAGUCUUGUCAAGCAGGGAUUGGUACUGGCAUUGCUGCAAGGAAAUUGGCAACUUAUAUACAAGUGAUGUGAGCUAUCCCUUAUGUUCUGGAGCAUCUAGUACUUUUCAGGAGACAAUUCUGAUUGGUCUCCUGCAGGAUACAGUUUGUGGUUUUUUUCUUACCACUUCCCCAAAAGAGUUUUUUAAGUUUACAAAAAGAGAUAAAAGUUUUAGAUGUGUUAGUAUUACCACUGUUUGUAAUUUGUACUGAAAUCUGCAUUGUAGAAAAAACAAUAGAUUCGUAGUCAUAGUCAUUUAUUAUGAGACACAAGUAGUUGAUUACUGGGAGCAGUCAUUGCAAAGCA